rnacentral:rRNA from 1 species
UGGCUCAGAACGAACGCUGGCGGCAUGGAUUAGGCAUGCAAGUCGAACGGUGCAGCAAUGCAUAGUGGCGCAAGGGUGAGGAACGCGUGAGUAACCUGCCCUCAAGUUGGGAACAGCUUCUGGAAACGGAAAUUAAUACCGAAUGUGACCAUAGGAAGGCAUCUUCUGUUGGUUAAAGGCCGCAAGGUCGCUUGAGGAGGGGCUCGCGUCCCAUUAUGCUAGUUGGUGAGGUAACGGCCCACCAAGGCGAAGAUGGGUAGCUGGUCUGAGAGGACGAUCAGCCACACUGGGACUGAGAACUGCCCAGACUCCUACGGGAGGCUGCAGUCGAGAAUUUUGGGCAAUGGACGAAAGUCUGACCCAAGCAAUGCCGCGUGCGGGAUGAAGGUCUUCGGAUUGUAAACCGCUGUCAAGUGGGACGAAACAAAUGACGGUACCGCUGAAGGAAGUCACGGCUAACUACGUGCCAGCCGCCGC